rnacentral:rRNA from 1 species
UUCUUGAGCCCAAAUAAAUUAAAUUGACCAGAUCCUGUCUGAUCUUGGAAGCUAAACAAGUUCAGUCCUGGUUAGUACUUGGAUGGGAGACUGCCAGCAAAUACCAGAUGCUGUAGUCU